rnacentral:rRNA from 1 species
CUCCUACGGGAGGCACAGUGGGGAAUAUUGCACAAUGGGCGCAAGCCUGAUGCAGCGACGCCGCGUGAGGGAUGAGGCCUUCGGGUUGUAAACCUCUUUCAGCAGGGAAGAAGCGAAAGUGACGGUACCUGCAGAAGAAGCGGGCUAACUACGUGCCAGCAGCCGCGGUAAUUAGGGCGCGAGCGUUGUCCGGAAAUUGGGCGUAAAGAGCUCUAGGGGCUUGUCACGUCGGUUGUGAAAGCCCGGGGCUUAACCCCGGGUCUGCAGUCGAUAGGCAGGCUAGAGUUCGGGGGAGAUCGGUGGUGUAGCGGUGAAAUGCGCAGAUAUCAGGAGGAACACCGGUGGCGAAGGCGGAUCUCUGGGCCGAUACUGACGCUGAGGAGCGGCGUGGGGAGCGAACAGGUAGAUACCCUGGUAGUCCACGCCAAACGGCACUAGGUGUGGGCAACAUUCCACGUUGUCCGUGCCUAACGCAUUAAGUGCCCCUGGGGAGUACG